GCGCAAGUGGCGUAAUUGGUAGCCGCACCAGACUUAGGAUCUGGCGCCGAAAGGCGUGGGGGUUCGAGUCCCUCCUUGCGCA
rnacentral:tRNA from 1 species